GAGAAGGAAAAACCUUUCUGACUAUCCCAGAGAUGCCAAAGUGAACUGGGUUGUUUCCAGCUAUAACAGGCUCUUCUUGGUGGUCCUCCAUUUGUCAGGGAUGCUGUCAAGAAGGUUGCUAUCCAGGAACAGGUUGGACUGGACAGACAUUGAGGACCUUUUCAAGGUCAUCUAUAGCCAACAUCUGAAAUUCCAUGAUUUCUUACCUCGACGAUCUCUAAUUGGAGAUGAGUGACAUGAAUACAGGACUCUGAGGAGGCAGAGAAGCAAGAGGAGGAGACCCAGAGUUGUUCCUUUGGAGGUGUGUAUGUGUAAGUGAUGAAGACCAAGAACCAUCCAGCUCUACAGAAAAGGCCACAAUGCUUUGGAAGAGAGGGAAAGAGGUAGGCUCGCCAACACCGUGAAUCCAGAACAACUGAUCCUGCCUGAAGAGUAGGUCACGGCAUAGAAGACACAAAAUCAGUGGAGGAGAUGUUGUCUGCACUAGGGGUCCACAGCUAGCAGGAGCUUUGUGAGAAGUCCGAGGUUGGGGAAGGGGACCCUGGGCUGCAUUACAGAACUAUGACAGGAAACAAACUGAGGAAGAUCUCAUCCUCCUUUCUCCAACUUAGAACCCAUCACAAGCCAAAGUGCAGCACCUAUUGAGGACACGUUAUACCAUGACGGGUGCAAGUUCCACAGGGAAGCACACAAGAGAGUUUGUUCUGACCCAGAGUGGGACUAGAGCAAAGACCUCCAAAACUCAGGCUAUGAAGAAGCCUUAGUCCAGUCAGAGAAACCGGAGACACUAGACAGAAAGCAGCACUGGAAAGCCAGCUGACUCAAGUGAUCCAGGCUGACAGACCCUGGCUGCCAUGAUUCAAACAGUCCCCAGAUCCCCAGUGAAUAAAAGUGAGCAGCACCAGGAAUGCCACUGGAGCACCUUACCCGAGGGACAUCCAUUGCAUGGUGCCACGGAUCUGGGAACAAAAGAACACCAUGAGAGUUCAGUUCCGUCUAGAAGAUUCUAAUGCACCAAGACAGCAGAAAAGCUGCAGCAGGCCACCAAUAUCCCUCAUCCUCCCCCUAAAGCAUGGCUUUUCCAGGAGGAGGAAGUAAGGGAGGGCACCCCACGGAGACACUGGCCAGCAAACAGGGACACUGUACUGAGGGUGCUGCAAGAACAGGCUCUGACUCAAUCCAGAGGAAUACAACAUCGAACCCCAAGUUAGCCAUGGAGGGAAACUGCCAAAGAUGGCAAAGACAGACAGAGAAGAUCGCGCUUAGUGCGGAGACCUACCGACAGCAUCUCAAGAAGAAGGCAAAAGGCCAUCCCUGAGAGACAGUGCAAAGAGUCCAAAUUAUCUGAAGUGAGAGAGGAAGAUGCCAACAGAGUACCCCGCUUCUCACGUCAAACAUCACUAUGCGCUCACUGAAACGCCAGGCCAAAGUAGAGAAACAGCCCAGCAUCCAGGCAGACACACACAGCCCAUGGAACAAGAGUUGUCCCUACAAAACCAUCAGCAAACCCAUACGUCCCCACAAGAUGCCCAGGAGUAGUAGAAGAGCUAUGGUGAACGCGUAGAAUGGAAGGAAACCUGCCAACUGAGGCAAUGGGGUGGAAGUCUGCAGAGCUGUCCAUUCAGGAGCAUCCGGAGGAGAAUGCGAUGGGCAGCCGGAGAAGGCAGUAAAAAGAAGCGCCCAAAGUGCUGAAAAAAGCUCGCCCUGGCUGGCGCCGGGCACUUGAAAGAGGAACAACCAAGCACAUCCUUUCCCUGUUGGCUGGUUGCUGCUUUUCUCUCGACCUCAUCAAGAAGAAGCUCCGCAAACCUGUUAGCCACAUCCCUCCCCCAAGACGGUCAUUUUAUCCCUCUGUUGAAGAUCGGGGAAGCCCUGGCCCUCUCCUAGCCAAUUUCCCUUCCUUAAAUAAACCCUUGUUCCAACAGCGUAAGGAGUGAGUUGCCUGUCAGAUAUUUCAGGCAACUUACUCAGAACUGGAUCCCAGCUUGACACCAACUGAAGAGAGUAACAAAGUGGGAGGGAGACAACAGGGAGGAGGGAGGCCGAUCUGAUUCGUCAUUACCACAACCCAUAAAGGAACAACCACCUGAGAACACUGAAUGCAGAAAGCCCACAUGACAGCCAAUAUGAAGUCGACAAAUGGGAAAGCCAAAUGUAAAGUUCUUCACAUCACCAAAGCCCUCUAGAAAAACAGCGUACGCUCCCUCGUGAAGAACACGGGCAAUCUUUACCGAAAAUCGCCCUGGCGCACACCCCACACCCCACACAAAAUCACUCUUACGGCACGCACACGACGAUAAAACCAUUACACACACGCACGCUCGGUCCUGUAUUUGUGGUUAACCUGACCAGAGUUCGACACUCAAGGUGAGACAACAGACAAAACCAGAAAAGGACCAGAAAGUACCAGAAAAGGAGAAGAGCUCAGGACCUGCGAACACCCCAGUCAGCACCAAAGAACGCAAAGGAACUUUGCUUACAGCCAAAGAACUUUCGAUCAAGGACCUGAUGGAGAACGAGCUUCCAUUACAGGGUCAAUCGUCGUGCAUGUCAACAGCACACUUGGGAACAUGCACACACGUGCACAGAAAUCUGGCAGAAGAAGAACGAAGACGAUCCAGCUCAUCGGGCAACGUGAGAAGAGGACUUCCAGAGAGUUGUGAGCGUAUGCAUCCUCACUACAUACUUAGGACAUACACAAAGACAAAAAUAUGCCAAGUCUGGCAGAACUCAUACAGGCAAAAAGGGAUAAUCACUUCUGUCUGGAUGACUUCAGAACAGAGCCUAUGAACAUAUAUGUAAUGUGUCAUAUUUGUAUAGGAAACAUACGUGAACAUAUGUAGGGUACCAAUGGGCUAAUAAACUAACUUACAAUAGUACAGGACUAAUGUAUUAACCUGUAACAGACAGGGAGAGAAUAGAUAGGGAGAAAAGGGAAAUUCAUAAACAAAGAGUAGCAUUAGGGAGAGAAUGAACCCUAAGAAGAGUAUAUAUCUAGAAGGUUCUAGAAAAGAUUAAUUGUAAACAAGCAUUAGAGAGAUACAGUAUAAGAAAGCUUCUGUUAACUUGCAUAUGACGCUGCUUUGCAUACGGACAAGAAUUGUACAUAACGUCACCCAAGAAAUUGUUGCGUAUGAGAGGAAAUUGUUACAUUGUCCGAACCCCUUAUGGCACACACCUAACCUCAUCCAUUUUCCCGCAACCCAGAUCUUAGCUUAGAAUAGGUUCAAGUAUAGCUCACAGAUAGGUUAGGCUAAAAUGUGUUAUUUGGGGAGGGGGAUGCUAGAUGGGAAUAUCAAAUAGAACAGCACAGGAAUAGAAGGAAGGGAAGUAAUUCACGUGGGAUCAAGAUGGCACCACCGGACAAGACAAAACAGGGAGACGUGUGAGAGAAGAAAGGCCAGAGCCUUUUUGGAAAUGGAAAAAGCCUGACAUGGCUGCCAAGAUUCCAGCAGCAGCAGCAGGGGAUGGGAGGAGAAGAUUUGGAAUCCUGAGGAAAGGAACCCAGAGGGGCAGGUGGAGCCAGGGUCUCCGGCUUUGUUUGACCCAGCUACUGAGAUGGUCCAGUCUUGGCCUGGGUCCCAAUCCCAAGAAAACCUCUUCUUUCAUUGACUCCUGAACUCUAUCCCCCUAAAACCCUCCAACAAGUGGACAGAAACUGAAGAGAGUCCACAAGGAGAAUCAUCAGUCUCCUCACCUGAACUGAGGCACCUGCUGGGCAGGGCUAAAGUCAGGGUUCAUCACUCUGAACCCCUCAGGGGCUUGAGGACAUUAAGCCCAAGUCACCUCAAUUUUGAGGGGAGGGUUUAGACAGUGAGGGACUCCUCCUUCCUUUGCCUCAACUUACCAGCCUUUCCUAACUUCAUCCUACAUUCCUAUUACCUUAGAAUAAAUUCUGUUAUCCACUACAA